rnacentral:rRNA from 1 species
AGAUUGAACGCUGGCGGCAUGCCCUACACAUGCAAGUCGAACGGCAGCACGGGAGCAAUCCUGGUGGCGAGUGGCGAACGGGUGAGUAAUACAUCGGAACGUGCCCAAUCGUGGGGGAUAACGCAGCGAAAGCUGUGCUAAUACCGCAUAAGAUCUACGGAUGAAAGCAGGGGAUCGCAAGACCUUGCGCGAAUGGAGCGGCCGAUGGCAGAUUAGGUAGUUGGUGAGGUAAAGGCUCACCAAGCCUUCGAUCUGUAGCUGGUCUGAGGAGGACGACCAGGCCACACGUGGGACUGACGACGACGGCCAGACCUCCUACGGGAGCAGCGAGGUGGGAAUUUGGAACAGUACGGGA